rnacentral:tRNA from 1 species
AUCCGUGAAAACCAGAUCGUUUCG